rnacentral:rRNA from 1 species
CUGGGCGUAAAGAGCUCGUAGGUGGUUUGUCGCGUUGUUCGUGAAAUCUCACGGCUUAGCUGUGAGCGUGCGGGCGAUACGGGCAGACUUGAGUACUGCAGGGGAGACUGGAAUUCCUGGUGUAGCGGUGGAAUGCGCAGAUAUCAGGAGGAACACCGGCGGCGAAGGCGGGUCUCUGGGCAGUAACUGACGCUGAGGAGCGAAAGCGUGGGGAGCGAACAGGAUUAGAUACCCUGGUAGUCCACGCCGUAAACGGUGGGUACUAGGUGUGGGUUUCCUUCCUUGGGAUCCGUGCCGUAGCUAACGCAUUAAGUACCCCGCCUGGGGAGUACGGCCGCGAGGCUAAAACUCAAAGAAAUUGACGGGGGCCCGCACAAGCGGCGGAGCAUGUGGAUUAAUUCGAUGCAACGCGAAGAACCUUACCUGGGUUUGACAUGCACAGGACGCCGGCAGAGAUGUCGGUUCCCUUGUGGCCUGUGUGCAGGUGGUGCAUGGCUGUCGUCAGCUCGUGUCGUGAGAUGUUGGGUUAAGUCCCGCAACGAGCGCAACCCUUGUCUCAUGUUGCCAGCGGGUAAUGCCGGGGACUCGUGAGAGACUGCCGGGGUCAACUCGGAGGAAGGUGGGGAUGACGUCAAGUCAUCAUGCCCCUUAUGUCCAGGGCUUCACACAUGCUACAAUGGCCGGUACAAAGGGCUGCGAUGCCGCGAGGUUAAGCGAAUCCUUUUAAAGCCGGUCUCAGUUCGGAUCGGGGUCUGCAACUCGACCCCGUGAAGUCGGAGUCGCUAGUAAUCGCAG